rnacentral:rRNA from 1 species
GUGGGGGAUAACGUCCGGAAACGGGCGCUAAUACCGCAUACGUCCUGAGGGAGAAAGUGGGGGAUCUUCGGACCUCACGCUAUCAGAUGAGCCUAGGUCGGAUUAGCUAGUUGGUGGGGUAAAGGCCUACCAAGGCGACGAUCCGUAACUGGUCUGAGAGGAUGAUCAGUCACACUGGAACUGAGACACGGUCCAGACUCCUACGGGAGGCAGCAGUGGGGAAUAUUGGACAAUGGGCGAAAGCCUGAUCCAGCCAUGCCGCGUGUGUGAAGAAGGUCUUCGGAUUGUAAAGCACUUUAAGUUGGGAGGAAGGGCAGUAAGUUAAUACCUUGCUGUUUUGACGUUACCAACAGAAUAAGCACCGGCUAACUUCGUGCCAGCAGCCGCGGUAAUACGAAGGGUGCAAGCGUUAAUCGGAAUUACUGGGCGUAAAAGCGCGCGUAGGUGGUUCAGCAAGUUGGAUGUGAAAUCCC